GAUGAACGCUGGCGGCGUGCCUAAUACAUGCAAGUCGAACGCGCAGCGAAAGGUGCUUGCACCUUUCAAGCGAGUGGCGAACGGGUGAGUAACACGUGGAUAACCUGCCUCAAGGCUGGGGAUAACAUUUGGAAACAGAUGCUAAUACCGAAUAAAAAUUAGUAUCGCAUGAUACAAAGUUAAAAGGCGCUACGGGGUCACCUAGAGAUGGAUCCGCGGUGCAUUAGUGAGUUGGUGGGGUAAAGGCAUACCAAGAGGAUGAUGCAUAGCCGAGUUGGGAGACUGAUCGGCCACAUUGGGACUGAGACACGGCCCAAACGCCUGCGGGAGGCUGCAGUAGGGAAUCUUCCACAAUGGGCGCAAGCCUGAUGGAGCAACGCCGCGUGUGUGAUGAAGGCUUUCGGGUCGUAAAGCACUGUUGUAUGGGAAGAACAGCUAGAAUAGGGAACGAUUUUAGUUUGACGGUACCAUACCAGAAAGGGACGGCUAAAUACGUGCCAGCAGCCGCAGUAA
rnacentral:rRNA from 1 species